AUACUGUCCUGGGAGGGGAGAUACCAUGAUAAUGAGGUGGUUUUCUCAGGGUGAGGCCUAUUCAUUGAACUCCAGAUGUGCUGACUCCUGCAAUUUUCCCAAAUGUGGGAAAUGCAACUGCAUAAUUUGUGAUAGUGAAGGACUGCAUUCACACUCUCCCCUG
rnacentral:snRNA from 1 species